GACCCCAACCAUGAAAAUCCGAAGAGACAGAGUCACGGAACGCUACAGGGAGCAGAUAGCCAAUCUGUACAAAUAGUUCGUACAAGCAAAAUGUAUGCAGGAAACUGUCAUAAUAAUGGCCUGAAAUGUAACCAGGAUUAAUAAUCUUAAAUAUCCCAAGUUCCCAUGGUAGUUAUAUCCCUGCACUUCAAUUGGUGCAGUUUGUCUCCUCAAGUAACGUUUUGUUUUUAAUGUCAUACGAAACAAAUUUAUUUCUAGUACUUUCCUCUUCUUGUGGUGUUGUCGUAUGUAAGUGAAUAAUUCUGGCUGC
rnacentral:misc_RNA from 1 species